CUACGGGUCGCUGCAGUGGGGAAUCUUGGACAAUGGGCGCAAGCCUGAUCCAGCCAUGCCGCGUGAGUGAAGAAGGCCUUAGGGUCGUAAAGCUCUUUCGCCAGAGAUGAUAAUGACAGUAUCUGGUAAAGAAACCCCGGCUAACUCCGUGCCAGCGAGCCGCGGUAAUACGGAGGGGGUUAGCGUUGUUCGGAAUUACUGGGCGUAAAGCGCGCGUAGGCGGAUUAGUCAGUCAGAGGUGAAAUCCCAGGGCUCAACCCUGGAACUGCCUUUGAUACUGCUAGUCUUGAGUUCGAGAGAGGUGAGUGGAAUUCCGAGUGUAGAGGUGAAAUUCGUAGAUAUUCGGAGGAACACCAGUGGCGAAGGCGGCUCACUGGCUCGAUACUGACGCUGAGGUGCGAAAGUGUGGGGAGCAAACAGGAUUAGAUACCCCCGUAGUC
rnacentral:rRNA from 1 species